AUGCGCUAUAAAUAUACUGGCUGGAAGGUAGAAGCUGCAGUUUGGAAAAUGGAGGGUGCAAUCAUCAGCUUGACCGAGGGCGCCGUGCGAGGCCUCCUGUGCAAGCUCGGCGGCCUCCUCGCGCAGGAGAGCUGGCCGGUGCAGCGCCUCCACGGCGAGGUCCAGUACAUCAAGGACGAGCUCGAGAGCAUGACCGCCUUCCUCCGUAGUCUGGCCGAAUCGUCCGACGGCCACGACGACCAGGUCCGGGUCUGGGUGAAGCAGGUGAGGGAGAUCGCCUACGACGCCGAGGACUGCAUCGACGACUACGUCCGCGGCCGCCAGCCGUUCGACAGGGACGGCGGCGCCGUCAUGGCGUCCCUCCGCCGCUUUGUCCGUCUGCUCGCCACGCUAGGAUCAGGCGGUGGUGGUCGCCGUCACCGGCGCAUGGCGGCCCAGCUCCAAGAACUGAAGACUCGCGCCAGGGACGCCGGCGAGCGGCGUUCCAGGUACGGGGUGCUGCCGCCAAAGACGGCGCUCGGGCGUGCCAGCAGCCACGCGUCCAGCUCCGGCGUCUCCGGCCGCCUGGACCCGCGGCUGCACGCCCUCUUCACCGAGGAGGCGCAGCUGGUGGGCAUCGACGGGCCGAGGGACGAGCUCGUGGGCUGGCUGAUGGAGGACGACGCGCGGCUCCGGGUGCUCGCCGUCGUCGGGUUCGGUGGGCUCGGCAAGACCACGCUGGCGAGGAUGGUGUGCGAGAACCCGCGGGUGAAGAGCGCUGACUUUCAGUGCUCCCCGUUCCUCAUCGUGUCGCAGACGCUAAACGUCAGGGCGCUGUUCCUGCACAUGCUCAGGGAACUGAUCCAGCGGCCGCGCCUGGCUGCCGGCGACGAUACCAUGGAUGAUAGCUUGCACGGGGCGGAGAGCUGGGAAACGGCGCUGCUGGCCAACAAGCUCAAACUUUACCUGCAAGACAAAAGGUACAUUGUGAUUCUUGAUGACAUAUGGACUUCAUCAGCAUGGGAGAACAUCAGAUGUGUGUUUCCUGACAAUGAAAAAGGAAGCAGAAUUAUAGUGACCACCAGGAACGAGGAUGUCGCUAAUACAUGUUGUUGUCAUUCCCAAGAUCGGAUUUACAAAAUUCAACGCCUAUCUGAGAUUGCAUCACGUGAGCUAUUCUUCAAGAGGAUCUUUGGCUUAGUAGAUGGAUUGCCAAACAAUGAGUUGGAAGAAGUUUCAAAUGUCAUACUCAAGAAAUGUGGGGGGUUACCAUUAGCCAUAGUCAGCAUUGGUAGCCUUCUCGCUAGCAAACCAAACAGAACCAAACAAGAGUGGCAGAAGGUUUCUGAUAACUUGGGCUCUGAACUUGAAAUAAAUCCAACUCUGGAAGGGACAAAGCUAGUCUUAUCUUUGAGUUACAAUGAUCUGCCAUACCAUCUGAAGGCUUGCUUCUUGUAUCUAAGUAUCUUUCCUCAAAAUUAUGUGAUCAAGAGGGGACCUUUGGUGAGAAUGUGGAUAGCCGAAGGAUUUGUCACCGCAAAACAUGGACUUAGUAUGGAGGAGGUUGCUGAAAGAUACUUUGAUGAGUUCGUCGCCAGAAGCAUGGUGCAUCCUGUGAAAAUUGAUUGGAGUGGUAAGGUGAGAAGCUGUCGAGUUCAUGAUAUAAUGGUUGAAGUCAUCAUGUCCAAGUCACUUGAGGAGAACUUUGCAUCCUACUUCUGUGAAAAUGGAACCACACUGGAUUCCCAUGACAAAAUCCGGCGCCUCUUCUUCCAGAGCAGUAGCCACUUAGUGCAGAGAACAAGUGCUAGUGUAGCUCAUGUUCGCACAUUUAGAAUGUCACCUUCCAUGGAGGAAAUCCCAUUCUUCUUCGCACACUUGCGGCUGUUAAGAGUGUUGGAUAUGCAAGGCAGUAGCUGCUUGAGCAACAAGGAUUUAGACUGUAUCUGUAACUUUUUCCAACUGAAAUACCUAAGCCUCAGAAAUACCAGUAUUUCCAAAUUGCCGAGAUUCAUAGGUCAUCUAAAUUACUUGGAGACACUAGAUAUCAGAGAAACACUUAUCAAGAAGCUACCAAGUAGUGCCAAGAGCCUGGUACGUCUGAAGCAUUUGUUAGUUGGACAUAAGACACAUCUUACUAGGACAGGUAGUGUGAAGUCCUUCAGAAGAUCCUCUGGUCUAGAAAUGACACCUGGGGUUCUCAUGAACAUGGCAUCCCUUCAAUCAGUAUGCCAUAUAGAGAUAAAAAAGGACCCAUCAGUGUUCCAGGAGAUAAGCUUGUUAAGAAAUCUAAAGAAGCUGAAUGUUCUCUUCCAUGGGGUAGAGGUAAACUGGAAACCUUGUCUGGAAUCAUUAAGCAAUUUGCCAGGAUCUGUGCGCUCGCUUUCCAUUCAAAUAUUUGAUGGAGAUGGAAGCAUCUCAUCGGAGGAAAUGCUAUCUUCAGUGGAGUCACCCCCUCUCUUGGUUACAAGCUUUGGCCUGACGGGCAAGCUGGAGCGCUUGCCUCUGUGGGCAGCAUCACUUAGAAACGUCUCGACGUUUACUCUUCGCAACAACGGGCUCCACGCCGACGCCAUAGACGUCCUUGGAGACCUGCCAAGUCUGCUCUGCCUCAAGCUGUAUCACAAAUCAUAUGCCGAUGACUGCCUCAUAUUCCCGCAGGGUAAAUUUUUGAAAGUCAAGCUAUUGGUUAUUGACAACUUGGAGAACAUUGACAAGGUGUGCUUCAAGGAUGGUUCUGUGCCGUGUCUUGAAAGGCUUACAUUGUCAUUCCUACGGGAACCCAAGCACGGGAUCUCUGGUCUUGAGAACCUUCUGAAGCUGAAGGAGAUAGAGUUCUUUGGUAACAUCUAUUCCUAUCGGCCGUUGUUAGGAGCUAGGGUUCAGGCUCCUCUAGAUCGUAGGUGGUAG
rnacentral:rRNA from 1 species